rnacentral:tRNA from 2 species
GCGGAAAUAGCUCAGUUGGUAGAGCAUAAUCUUGCCAAGGUUAGGGUCGCGAGUUCGAGUCUCGUUUUCCGCU